GCAUUAGAAAGCAUGCAACAGCACUUGUUGCUUCUGGUCUGUUUGAGGAAGCAAUUGACCCUACAGUUGCUUCACAGAAAAGUGUAUUUGCAGUUGGCAUGAUCUACUGUGAAGAAGAAGGCCGUUUGAAGGAGAAGCCUGUCUUGCUGCAAAGCAGAUUAUUGCAGCAGGUCCUUUUACCACAACUGACAACUUGUUCUUUGAAUCUCUAACUGAGCUGCUAGCAUAUGCACAAAGAAAGCAGCCUCAGUUGCUUUUAUUGCUGGGACCAUUUAUUGAUUCUGAACAUCCAGAGAUUAAGAAAGGAGCAGUAAACAGGACCUUUGAUGAAAUAUUUCGUCUUGAAAUCCUUGGAAGGCUUCAAGAUUAUGUGGAAUAUAUGGGUUCUGCUGCACGUGUGAUUCUCGUGCCAUCUAUACGGGACGCAAAUCAUGACUUUGUUUUCCCUUAGGUAAUUUUAUUGCUAAAUU